GGUUAAGCGACUAAGCGUACACGGUGGAUGCCCUGGCAGUCAGAGGCGAUGAAGGACGUGCUAAUCUGCGAUAAGCGUCGGUAAGGUGAUAUGAACCGUUAUAACCGGCGAUUUCCGAAUGGGGAAACCCAGUGUGUUUCGACACACUAUCAUUAACUGAAUCCAUAGGUUAAUGAGGCGAACCGGGGGAACUGAAACAUCUAAGUACCCCGAGGAAAAGAAAUCAACCGAGAUUCCCCCAGUAGCGGCGAGCGAACGGGGAGCAGCCCAGAGCCUGAAUCAGUGUGUGUGUUAGUGGAAGCGUCUGGAAAGGCGCGCGAUACAGGGUGACAGCCCCGUACACAAAAAUGCACAUGCUGUGAGCUCGAUGAGUAGGGCGGGACACGUGGUAUCCUGUCUGAAUAUGGGGGGACCAUCCUCCAAGGCUAAAUACUCCUGACUGACCGAUAGUGAACCAGUACCGUGAGGGAAAGGCGAAAAGAACCCCGGCGAGGGGAGUGAAAAAGAACCUGAAACCGUGUACGUACAAGCAGUGGGAGCCUCUUUUAUGGGGUGACUGCGUACCUUUUGUAUAAUGGGUCAGCGACUUAUAUUCUGUAGCAAGGUUAACCGAAUAGGGGAGCCGAAGGGAAACCGAGUCUUAACUGGGCGUUAAGUUGCAGGGUAUAGACCCGAAACCCGGUGAUCUAGCCAUGGGCAGGUUGAAGGUUGGGUAACACUAACUGGAGGACCGAACCGACUAAUGUUGAAAAAUUAGCGGAUGACUUGUGGCUGGGGGUGAAAGGCCAAUCAAACCGGGAGAUAGCUGGUUCUCCCCGAAAGCUAUUUAGGUAGCGCCUCGUGAAUUCAUCUCCGGGGGUAGAGCACUGUUUCGGCAAGGGGGUCAUCCCGACUUACCAACCCGAUGCAAACUGCGAAUACCGGAGAAUGUUAUCACGGGAGACACACGGCGGGUGCUAACGUCCGUCGUGAAGAGGGAAACAACCCAGACCGCCAGCUAAGGUCCCAAAGUCAUGGUUAAGUGGGAAACGAUGUGGGAAGGCCCAGACAGCCAGGAUGUUGGCUUAGAAGCAGCCAUCAUUUAAAGAAAGCGUAAUAGCUCACUGGUCGAGUCGGCCUGCGCGGAAGAUGUAACGGGGCUAAACCAUGCACCGAAGCUGCGGCAGCGACACUGUGUGUUGUUGGGUAGGGGAGCGUUCUGUAAGCCUGUGAAGGUGUGCUGUGAGGCAUGCUGGAGGUAUCAGAAGUGCGAAUGCUGACAUAAGUAACGAUAAAGCGGGUGAAAAGCCCGCUCGCCGGAAGACCAAGGGUUCCUGUCCAACGUUAAUCGGGGCAGGGUGAGUCGACCCCUAAGGCGAGGCCGAAAGGCGUAGUCGAUGGGAAACAGGUUAAUAUUCCUGUACUUGGUGUUACUGCGAAGGGGGGACGGAGAAGGCUAUGUUGGCCGGGCGACGGUUGUCCCGGUUUAAGCGUGUAGGCUGGUUUUCCAGGCAAAUCCGGAAAAUCAAGGCUGAGGCGUGAUGACGAGGCACUACGGUGCUGAAGCAACAAAUGCCCUGCUUCCAGGAAAAGCCUCUAAGCAUCAGGUAACAUCAAAUCGUACCCCAAACCGACACAGGUGGUCAGGUAGAGAAUACCAAGGCGCUUGAGAGAACUCGGGUGAAGGAACUAGGCAAAAUGGUGCCGUAACUUCGGGAGAAGGCACGCUGAUAUGUAGGUGAAGUCCCUCGCGGAUGGAGCUGAAAUCAGUCGAAGAUACCAGCUGGCUGCAACUGUUUAUUAAAAACACAGCACUGUGCAAACACGAAAGUGGACGUAUACGGUGUGACGCCUGCCCGGUGCCGGAAGGUUAAUUGAUGGGGUCAGCGCAAGCGAAGCUCUUGAUCGAAGCCCCGGUAAACGGCGGCCGUAACUAUAACGGUCCUAAGGUAGCGAAAUUCCUUGUCGGGUAAGUUCCGACCUGCACGAAUGGCGUAAUGAUGGCCAGGCUGUCUCCACCCGAGACUCAGUGAAAUUGAACUCGCUGUGAAGAUGCAGUGUACCCGCGGCAAGACGGAAAGACCCCGUGAACCUUUACUAUAGCUUGACACUGAACAUUGAGCCUUGAUGUGUAGGAUAGGUGGGAGGCUUAGAAGUGUGGACGCCAGUCUGCAUGGAGCCGACCUUGAAAUACCACCCUUUAAUGUUUGAUGUUCUAACGUUGACCCGUAAUCCGGGUUGCGGACAGUGUCUGGUGGGUAGUUUGACUGGGGCGGUCUCCUCCUAAAGAGUAACGGAGGAGCACGAAGGUUGGCUAAUCCUGGUCGGACAUCAGGAGGUUAGUGCAAUGGCAUAAGCCAGCUUGACUGCGAGCGUGACGGCGCGAGCAGGUGCGAAAGCAGGUCAUAGUGAUCCGGUGGUUCUGAAUGGAAGGGCCAUCGCUCAACGGAUAAAAGGUACUCCGGGGAUAACAGGCUGAUACCGCCCAAGAGUUCAUAUCGACGGCGGUGUUUGGCACCUCGAUGUCGGCUCAUCACAUCCUGGGGCUGAAGUAGGUCCCAAGGGUAUGGCUGUUCGCCAUUUAAAGUGGUACGCGAGCUGGGUUUAGAACGUCGUGAGACAGUUCGGUCCCUAUCUGCCGUGGGCGCUGGAGAACUGAGGGGGCUGCUCCUAGUACGAGAGGACCGGAGUGGACGCAUCACUGGUGUUCGGGUUGUCAUGCCAAUGGCACUGCCCGGUAGCUAAAUGCGGAAGAGAUAAGUGCUGAAAGCAUCUAAGCACGAAACUUGCCCCGAGAUGAGUUCUCCCUGACCCUUUAAGGGUCCUGAAGGAACGUUGAAGACGACGACGUUGAUAGGCCGGGUGUGUAAGCGCAGCGAUGCGUUGAGCUAACCGGUACUAAUGAACCGUGAGGCUUAACCUU
rnacentral:rRNA from 1 species